rnacentral:rRNA from 1 species
GACGUAGGUGGCGAACGUUAUCCGGAAUUAUUGGGCGUAAAGGGUGCGUAGGCGGCAUGAUAAGUUAUUGGCGGCAAAUCGAGGCUCAACCUCGUGGAAACUGAUAAUACUGUUUUGCUUGAGUACAGAAGAGGUUAACGGAACUCCAUGUGGAGCGGUAAAAUGUGUAGAUAUAUGGAAGAACAUCAAUAACGGCGAAGGCAGUUAACUAUUCUGUUACUGACGUUGAGGCACGAAAGCUAGGGGAGCAAACAGG